ensembl:snRNA U6 U6 spliceosomal RNA
GUGCUCACUUCAAUAGCACAUAUUCUAAAAUUGAAAAAAUAUAGACAAUAUUAACACAGCCCCUGCACAAGAAUCACAUGCAGAUUCAGGAAGCAUUUCAUAUGUUU